rnacentral:snRNA from 1 species
AGUUGAGCAGCCAUACUGUUCAG